rnacentral:lncRNA from 1 species
UGGAAGCCCCCAGAAAUAACUGCCAGCUUUUGGAGGGUGUCUCUGGAUGUUUUGUGUGUUCCAUCUGGGCUGCAGCCAUUAUUCUACCUACUUGACAGACGAUGAGGUCAUGGAGGCCAAGUGUUCUUCACGACGACACCCAGGUCAAAGGCAGAGUUAAAGUACAUCCCAGGUCACAUAACUCAUUCUCUGUUCAAGAAUCUUUCCUAAUCCCUGGUGCCAUUUGGGAACUGUUUCAAAGGCAUUCCAACCUCAGAAUCAUGCCAGUGCACUGGUUAUCAAUUAUUUUGUUGAUCCUUUAGCAAAUCCUCAAACUGAUUUUUCUGCCCUCCUGAGACACAAAUCACAAAGCUGACCUUAAGUGCUUUGGCAUCCCCCUCCAGUCCCGAGGCACACAAAAAAGCAGUGCAGGGUUGGUGAUUUAUUGUUUUCCCACGCAGGUCACGCUCAAGCCCAGACAGAUAGAGAAGAUUUGUCUUUAACGAGAGAAAUGCACCAUUACUUGGUCAUAAAUUCAACUUAAUGGAUGAUAUACAUGGCCAGGUGAAGACAGUAGAGAGAAAACAGAACUGAAACCAGAGAGCCCUCUACAGAAGGAUGUAAUGGAUAAUUAUUGGUAUACAGUGAGGUUCAUAACCAAAAACAAAAGUUCUCUCCAUGAGACCUGGAAUCUGUAAACUGUCUUCUGGCUAAGGAAUCUGAAACUUAGGAUAAACAACUUGCCUAAUUUCUUAUGAUGGAGAUGUAAUAGUGGUUGGAAUUUGGACCUAUUCCUUCUGAUUCUGGAGCUCACCAGUUAACCACUCUGCUAAACUGCCUCCCCAAGAGGUAAAAAAUAUCUAGUGCUUUCAAGUCCAAAUCACUUUCCAAUAGCAAUAGUUGAUAAUAUCAUGAGCUGCCCAUGCUUCCAGAUGGGGGUAGAUGCUAGUUUGGAGGGAAAGGCUGUGCCAUGGGACAGAAGACUCAAUGAGGAGGGUGAGUAUUACCACAAGCUGGGACCCAUUUGUAAUGGUAUUUAUAGAAGUCUAGGAGCACAGUAUUCAAUUAGCAAAAGCAAACUCCCUAGGUAUUAUAACCCCCUUUUUUUCCUCCCCACUUAUCUUUAUGAGAUUUUGCCUGAGAGAUAGAAUCUAAAAGGAUAAAAAUAGGCUCUUUAAACUUCAGGGAGGAAGCAGUGAUGUUUUCAAUAGACUAUGUUUCCAUCUCCACCCACUCCAAACAAGUUAAGUAUUGUAUGACAUGAAGUCUAGGAAAAGCCUGGCACUCUAUAAAAAAUACUGGGAAAAUUCUGUCCAGCAUGGAAUAUCAGCAGCUUAUUGUACAGCAUAAAGUACUAACUCAGCAUUGACCUGCUCCCAAAAAGGGCAAAAUGAGAAGAAAAGAGCAGUGGAUGAUUGGAAAGAGGGCUCAGAUAUCAGCCCUUUACCUGUUGAAAGGGAUGUGCUAUAGCAAUUUUGCUGGCUUGGCCUGGGGACAUGUGAAAUGGUGGAGGAUGAUUUAGAUGUCUCAGUAUCAACUUUGAUAUCUCUUUACUUCAGGGAAUCACAAGUUCAAAUUCCAGGAGAGUUGGAUCAGCCUUUCCUCUCUGGCAGCCAGGCAAAGCGAGGGUCAUGCGAUCUACUCAGCACUUUGGGAUGUGACUUCAAAACCAAAGAACAAGGUGCACAUUUUGAGAAACGUGUACUCCUUGUUUAUGUGGCUGCUUCUUUAACAGAGUGAGGGAUAUGUACUUACUGGACACAGUUUUGGUUAGCCCAGCAUCACGUUUUUUUCUGGAAACCUCACCCCACUUUUUAUGUGGUUGUAGGAAUUCCCCCACCCCCUGCCAGUACAACGGCUCUUCUUUGGCUCUAGUGGAUUGGAACAGGGCAGGCCCCUCCCAAGAGCCAGUGACCAAGUAUGGUGGGGACAUUGAGGCAGACCUAUUUCUGAGAAACACAGAAAUUUGUUGGGCAACUGUAUUGCCCAACUUUGGCUCAAAAACUCCAUGAUGACUUUGCUGAACUUUCCUUAGACCAUAGACCCACCAAAAAUGUUUCCAACCAAUCUACUCUCUCUCUCUCCUUCCCUUGGGGUUAGGCUUGCCUUGCAAUCUGAUGGCUUUGCCUAUCCUCCCCUAUUUCUGUUCACACAUUAAUUCCCCCUAAUAAAACCCCUGCUCAUUUAACACCUUCUCAUCUUCUGUUUCUUGGAGGACCUCAUCUUAUGCAUCUGGUUUAAAUCCUAGCUCUCCCACACAGUAGUCGUGUGACCUUUGAUAAUCACUACAUUGUGCUGUCCUCAAUUUCCUCUUCUGUAAAAUGAAAGUGUGGGGUAAGAGCACCUACAUCACAGUGGUGUUAUAAUUGGAUGUAAUAACCCUCAGUCAUUUACCUGGCAUGCGGUAUAGUUGUAUGCAGGAGAGUCUACUGUUUAGAAAAACCUUGAACCUAAUUGUUAGCACCAUCAGUCUGUUCUGGCUUGUGUGCUGUAAGAGCCCUCUCUGGGUCUACAUUUGCUCAAGCAUUGAUGUUCUGUAGAGUAAAUUCUGCAUGUUUGUCUCUCCACUAAAACAUAAGUUCCUUGAGAGCAGGUAGCAUAUUUCCUUCACUUCUAUAUCCUCUCCAGAUCCAAGCAAAGUGUUUGAGCAAAGUGGCAAACCAGGAAAUGCUCAUUUAAUGGAUGCGAAUUUCCUGCAGGAAUGAUGGAAUGGAGUUCAGGUCAACAGCAAAUAUUGCAUGGCUGCUUACUUUCUUCCUGUGGUAUUCUCUACAAGGACAAAUAGCACAGAACCCCCUGCCAUCUCAUACAAGUGACAGAUUGUAUAUGCGUUGGCAAGCUUGGGCUUGAAGUUUUUGGUGACACAAGACUGGCUUCUACUUCAGGAGACCAACUUCUUUUUCACAUAGCUCCAAUUUUCAGAGGUAAGUAAAAUAAUGUUAACUAAAACUUGAAUAAUGCUUACUAAGUGCUAGAUACCAUUUUAAGUGCUGUAAUAUGUGUCUCUGAAUAUACACCUCCCACUCCUUGCACAGACACACACAUGCACACACUACACUCACACACAUACACACACACAAUCUCAAUAAACCCUCACAACAACUGAAUAAGGUAGAUUCAGUUGUUGCCCCUAUUUAACAGAUGAGGAAACUGAGGCACACAUAAGUUACAUGAUCUGCCCAAAGCCACAAUGCAAGUAAGAGCCAAGAUUUGAACCCAGGUAGUCUGAAUCUACAUUUUGUACUCUUAAUGACUGUAUUUUACUAUUUAUUUAUUAUUUAAUUUUUUUUUGAGACAGAGUCUCACUCUGUCACCCAAG